GAAUUUUGGACAAUGGGCGAAAGCCUGAUCCAGCAAUGCCGCGUGCAGGAUGAAGGCCUUCGGGUUGUAAACUGCUUUUGUCCGGGACGAAAAGCUUUUGGUUAAUACCCUGGAGUCAUGACGGUACCGUAAGAUUACGCACCGGCCAACUCCGUUCCAGCCACCGCGGUAAUACGUAGGGUGCAAGCGUUAAUCGGAAUUCCUGGGCGUAAAGCGUGCGCAGGCGGUGUUGUAAGACAGAGGUGAAAUCCCCGGGCUCAACCUGGGAACUGCCUUUGUGACUGCAAGGCUAGAGUACGGCAGAGGGGGGUGGAAUUCCGCGUGUAGCAGUGAAAUGCGUAGAUAUUCGGAGGAACACCGAUGGCGAAGGCAACCCCCUGGGCCUGUACUGACGCUCAUGCACGAAAGCGUGGGGAGCAAAC
rnacentral:rRNA from 1 species